rnacentral:rRNA from 1 species
ACUGCGAAUGGCUCAUUAAAUCAGUUAUAGUUUAUUUGAUGGUACCUUACUACUCGGAUAACCGUAGUAAUUCUAGAGCUAAUACGUGCGCACAUCCCGACUCU